UUCACGUGUAGCAGUGAAAUGCGUAGAGAUGUGGAGGAAUACCGAUGGCGAAGGCAGCCCCCUGGGCCAAUACUGACGCUCAUGCACGAAAGCGUGGGGAGCAAACAGGAUUAGAUACCCUGGUAGUCCACGCCCUAAACGAUGUCAACUAGUUGUCGGGUCUUCAUUGACUUGGUAACGUAGCUAACGCGUGAAGUUGACCGCCUGGGGAGUACGGUCGCAAGAUUAAAACUCAAAGGAAUUGACGGGGACCCGCACAAGCGGUAGAUGAUGUGGAUUAAUUCGAUGCAACGCGAAAAACCUUACCUACCCUUGACAUGUAUGGAACCCUGCUGAGAGGUGGGAGUGCCCGAAAGGGAGCCAUAACACAGGUGCUGCAUGGCUGUCGUCAGCU
rnacentral:rRNA from 1 species